rnacentral:rRNA from 1 species
UACGUAGGGUGCGAGCGUUGCCCGGAUUUAUUGGGCGUAAAGGGCGCGUAGGCGGCCACGCACGUCCGUUGUGAAAUCGCCCGGCUCAACUGGGCGGGGUCAGCGGAUACGGUGUGGCUAGAGCAAGCUAGGGGGCAAUGGAAUUCCCGGUGUAGUGGUGGAAUGCGUAGAUAGUCGGGAGGAACACCAGUGGCGAAGGCGGCGACCUGGGCCA